rnacentral:rRNA from 2 species
GACAGAGGUGCCAAGCGUUAGGCGGAAUCACUGGGCUUAAAGCGUGUGUAGGCGGAUCGUUAAGUACCUUGUGAAAUCCCACGGCUCAACCGUGGAACUGCUGGGUAUACUGGCGAUCUUGAGCCACCUAGGGGCGAGCGGAACAAGCGGUGGAGCGGUGAAAUGCGUAGAUAUCGUAAGGAAGACCAGUGGCGAAGGCGGGUCUCUGGACAGUUCCUGACGCUGAGGCACGAAGGUCAGGGGAGCAAACGGG